GGAUGUGAGGCCAAUCUGGCUAUAGCAUCUGUCACCCUAUUGAUCACCAGGGUUCAUUCAGCUAUCUACCCAGCUAGGUAGGCAUCCCCCUCCUCUUCACCACUCCAUGUGUGUUCCUCCUGAAGCUGCUAAGCUGUACAGUUGGUCAAAGCAGACGCCCUUCCCCGAUAGAGAAGAACUGCUCUUCAGCCAUGGGUAGAUGAGUAGCUGUGCUCUACUGCUAGAGCAUGCAAACAAGCUCUCAAGAGGCUCCGUCUCUAAUGGCCAUAAAGGAAGAUGGGCUGACAAAAACAAUGCCAAGACAAAAAGAGAAACCAGGAAAAUAGAAAAUGAUUGGUCAAUGU
rnacentral:snRNA from 1 species